rnacentral:rRNA from 1 species
UACGUAGGGUGCAAGCGUUGUCCGGAAUUAUUGGGCGUAAAGAGCUCGUAGGCGGUUUGUCGCGUCUGCCGUGAAAGCCCAGGGCUUAACCCUGGGUCUGCGGUGGGUACGGGCAGACUAGAGUGUGGUAGGGGAGACUGGAAUUCCUGGUGUAGCGGUGAAAUGCGCAGAUAUCAGGAGGAACACCGAUGGCGAAGGCAGGUCUCUGGGCCACUACUGACGCUGAGAAGCGAAAGCAUGGGGAGCAAACAGG